CCAUGGUGCAGACCUUCAGGCUUCACACAGAGGUAGAGUAGGGAAUGUCUUGACCUUCAAUACGAGACUGCAGCAGAUCAUUGGGAACUAUGCAGGAGGCUGGAGUUGAGGCAGAAAGUAUACAUACAGCUGGAGGCAAAGGUUGGCAUACAUGUCAAGAGAAUGUUUUCCAGCUGGGGCCUGCAGUACAGAGAAUUGUAUAUACCAGAGGGCUCCUGGGACUCUAGGCAGAUUAUUAUGGUAAUAUUGGAGGCUGUUGUCCUCUCCCUCCCACAGCUGGGCCGCCUCUCUCAUUAUUUCCAUCACACAAAGACAGAAAUUCCAUCAGGCCAAGAUACCAUCCAGAACUUAGAUGGAACUGAAGAGUGUCAUUGAAGUGCUAUACUAUAUAAAUGGCCUGGUAGCUUGUUUGGCCACUGAGAGAACACAUGGUGGUUUUCAGGAAUCACUUUGGGGAAUACUCAUGAAAUUCAAUGUAUUCUAAUUGUAUUUAUAAUAUGCCUACUAUCUUCAAAGUGUGGGCUAGUUUCAGAUGAAAUUAAACAGAAUUUGUACCUAGAAGAGCUUACUAUGUGUU